AUGAGCCGCCGGAUCUCCAAGAAAGGAGGCCAGGGCCGCCGGAUUCGGUGACCCCAGUCUCCUCGCUGGCGGAUCUGGCGUCCAGA
rnacentral:miRNA from 17 species